rnacentral:lncRNA from 1 species
CAUGGACGGAGACUCACCACUUUUCAGUUUGAAAGAUGGAGAUGAAAAAUUAUACUGAAUCCAAGCCUGCCUGCAGUGGAGUCUUUUGGUUCUGGGCCCUUAGGAGCCCUGAGAGAUCUGAGUUCUGUUUCCACUGCUUUGGGCCAUUGAUGAGUUGAAUUGAUAGGGCCUUAAGACCUGGGUCUCAGGUCUCCCUCAGUGCAGUAGGGUGAAGAAGACUGGAAAGAGUAACUUGAGGGCUGUUGCAAAUGGAGAAGGAAUGCACCUCAAACACUGGCAAACCACCCAGGAACAAGCCUUAUUUUGCCAACAGGUCUUUGACAGGCAUGUUGAGAGAGGUGCAACCUUGCCUUUCCCUACAGGCUGUAAAUGUUCAGGCUAAACAAAGAGCUUGAGUGCUAGUUACCUGGCAAGGCAGUUGAGCCCCCAUUUUUGUUUCAAGGGCCUGUUAAUAAUACUGAGAAGGCAAAGUCUGGGGAGAUGUGGUUUAGUCCAGAAGAGUAUGGCUGGGUAUGUUUUGGGUCCCAGAAGCUAUCCAUAAGACAGAGAGUAUCUCAUCUUCCUUUGUACCCACCUAGCCUGCUGCAGGAUGAGUCUGUGAAGCUGCAAGUGUGUUCGACUCAUCCUCUUGUGUAUGUAUGACCAGGGAGGUCAGGAAGAAAUGAGCUUAGCUACAAUAGGCCCCUGGAGAGGCUGGUGAGAAGGAGGCGUUGUUGAGAGCCUCAGGAAGCCUCUUGAAAUCACUGGGCAUAAAUUUGGGCCAGCAAGGCCAAACCCAGCCCUGAUGAAUCUUUUCAUUGAGGAUAGGACCUAGUUCAUUAGAAAGGCUGCAGAAUGAAAUAGGCAUUUUGGUUUCUGGCUUUUCCCUGGCCUCUGUCUGGAGUAGACUACUCAGCUUCAGGGUCUCUACAUCAGCACACCACACAUUCCUGGUCAGAGCUGGAGUCACUGGGUCUUAGGGUAUGGUCCUUGGAGGCCCACUCUGAUCAUUUCUUUGCAGGCCUCAGCAGUUAUGGCCUUCUCCUUCCUCAUUCAAAUUGGAUUCCACUCUUUAGGUCAUGCGGGUUGGAUGGUCCCAUGUCUUUUCUUUCUUCAGCUACUUAUUGGGCACCAACUGGUACUGGGCCCUGUAUGCUUAUAUAUGAGAUUCAGCAUUUUUCUUCCAGGAAUAUGCUGCAUUCUUAGCUCUUAGAAAGUGUUCACAAUGUCCAGAGGAUGCUGUGGCUGCAAGUGGUGCUGUUGCUCUGGAGAACCUGAUGGAGCAUGGCCACAUCCGGCUAGAUAAAGCCUCGAAGGACAGCGAGUCAAGCACACCCCAUGACCCCACUUUGCUCUUCCACAGUGGUCCUCAGCCUAAUUUUAGACACUUCCAGGGAUGGAACACCGUUACUUCCGAAGGAAGCCUGGUUAAUUUCUGAACCUUUCUUCCUUGGGGUGGAACUUUU